rnacentral:rRNA from 1 species
CCUACGGGAGGCAGCAGUGAGGAAUAUUGGUCAAUGGGCGCGAGCCUGAACCAGCCAAGUAGCGUGAAGGAUGACUGCCCUACGGGUUGUAAACUUCUUUUGUCAAGGAAUAAAGUGAAGCACGUGUGCCUUUUUGUAUGUACUUUAUGAAUAAGGAUCGUCUAACUCCGUGCCAGCAGCCGCGGUAAUACGGGGGAUCCGAGCGUUAUCCGGAUUUAUUGGGUUUAAAGGGAGCGUAGAGGGGAUGUAAAGUCAGUGGUUAAAGUUUGCGGCUUCACCGUAAAAUUGCAAUUGAUACUGGCAGUCUUGAGUGCAGUUGCGGUAGGCGGAAUUCGUGGUGUAGCGGUGAAAUGCAUAGAUAUCACGAAGAACUCCGAUUGCGAAGGCAGCUUACUAAACUGCCACUGACAUUGAUGCUCGAAAGUGUGGGUAUCGAACAGGAUUAGAUACCCUAGUAGUC